rnacentral:rRNA from 1 species
ACCAGAACGGACCUGACGGCAAGGGACGAAAGCUAGGGGCACGAACCGGAUUAGAUACCCGGGUAGUCCUAGCCGUAAACGAUACUCGCUAGGUGUCGGCCACGGUGCGACCGUUGUCGGUGCCGUAGGGAAGCCGUGAAGCGAGCCACCUGGGAAGUACGGCCGCAAGGCUGAAACUUAAAGGAAUUGGCGGGGGAGCACCACAACGGGUGGAGCUUGCGGUUUAAUUGGAUUCAACGCCGGA